UCGACGCUUCUUUUCCACCGGAGCUUGCUCCACCGGGAAAAGAGGAGUGCGCGAUACGGGUGAGUAACACGUGGGUAACCUGCCCAUCAGAAGGGGAUAACGACUUGGAAACAGGUGCUAAUACCGUAUAACAAUCGAAACCGCAUGGUUUCGUUUUGAAAGGCGCUUUACGGUGCCGCUGAUGGAUGGACCCGCGGUGCAUUAGCUAGUUGGUGAGGUAACGGCUCACCAAGGCCACGAUGCAUAGCCGACCUGAGAGGGUGAUCGGCCACAUUGGGACUGAGACACGGCCCAAACUCCUACGGGAGGCAGCAGUAGGGAAUCUUCGGCAAUGGACGAAAGUCUGACCGAGCAACGCCGCGUGAGUGAAGAAGGUUUUCGGAUCGUAAAACUCUGUUGUUAGAGAAGAACAAGGGUGAGAGUAACUGUUCACCCCUUGACGGUAUCUAACCAGAAAGCCACGGCUAACUACGUGCCAGCAGCCGCGGUAAUACGUAGGUGGCAAGCGUUGUCCGGAUUUAUUGGGCGUAAAGCGAGCGCAGGCGGUUUCUUAAGUCUGAUGUGAAAGCCCCCGGCUCAACCGGGGAGGGUCAUUGGAAACUGGGAGACUUGAGUGCAGAAGAGGAGAGUGGAAUUCCAUGUGUAGCGGUGAAAUGCGUAGAUAUAUGGAGGAACACCAGUGGCGAAGGCGGCUCUCUGGUCUGUAACUGACGCUGAGGCUCGAAAGGC
rnacentral:rRNA from 1 species